ACACGACUACAUUAGAUACCCGGGUAGUCCCAGCCGUAAACAAUGUGCGUUAGGUGUGUCGGUAACCACGUGUUACUGAUGCGCCGAAGAGAAAUCGUGAAACGCACCACCUGGGAAGUACGGUCGCAAGGCUGAAACUUAAAGGAAUUGGCGGGGAGCACCACAACAGGUGGAGCCUGCGGUUUAAUUGGAUUCAACGCCGGACAUCUCACCGGAUAAGACAGCUGAAUGAUUGUCAAUCUGAAGGUUUUACAUGACUAGCUG
rnacentral:rRNA from 1 species